rnacentral:tRNA from 1 species
GGCUUCGUGGUGUAGUGGUGAGCACGCUGGGCGCGUAUCCAGAAGUCCGUGGCUCGAGUCCCGGCGAAGGCA